rnacentral:rRNA from 1 species
ACUCCUACGGGAGGCAGCAGUGGGGAAUAUUGCACAAUGGGCGCAAGCCUGAUGCAGCCAUGCCGCGUGUAUGAAGAAGGCCUUCGGGUUGUAAAGUACUUUCAGCAGUGAGGAAGGUGGAUAUGUUAAUAGCAUAUUCAUUUGACGUUAGCUGCAGAAGAAGCACCGGCUAACUCCGUGCCAGCAGCCGCGGUAAUACGGAGGGUGCGAGCGUUAAUCGGAAUUACUGGGCGUAAAGCGCAUGCAGGUGGUUUGUUAAGUCAGAUGUGAAAGCCCGGGGCUCAACCUCGGAAUUGCAUUUGAAACUGGCAAACUAGAGUACUGUAGAGGGGGGUAGAAUUUCAGGUGUAGCGGUGAAAUGCGUAGAGAUCUGAAGGAAUACCGGUGGCGAAGGCGGCCCCCUGGACAGAUACUGACACUCAGAUGCGAAAGCGUGGGGAGCAAACAGGAUUAGAUACCCUGGUAGGCAUA